ensembl:lncRNA
GUGAGUCACCUGGGGAAGGUAUUAAAGGACUAGCAAGAAGGAAAAGCCAAGACCUCUAGGGAGGUGGGGGCCCUGGACAAUUACUGCUGUCUCGACAACUCACAGGAGACCAGAGUAGGGGGCAGUAACACUACAAGUGGGACACAAUUCAGACUCUGAAAAAACGUCUGAGAGAGAAAAGGUAACAAUCGUGAGGUCUUGAUUUCCACGAAAGGCUGAAAAGGGCCAAGGCUAAAACUCCCGUUGCCAGUCUUGCACGGCAAGACAAGACAUGACAGCCAUUUCGCCCAUCUGUUCUAAAGAAAAGUUACCUUCCAGCCCUGCUGUAAAAUCUCCCGUGGGCCGAGACACUUUGAUGCCCACCGUCGUCCUAAAAAGAACAUCGUGUAAACUCACCUGCAGCGUCAUCUUCACAAGGCUAUCUGGUCCUCAUCCCUCUCAGCACCCUCUUCUACCUGGCAGUACUUACUCAAACUAGGAAAAGUGCUCCUGCCUUCCCCCUCUAGUCUGGUGAGCUGCUUGGCAGGCCCUCACCUUCCCUUCCCCUGCGCCAUCUGGACAGUUCUCAAUCCCCACCUCCACCCGCAGCUCCGCCACCGAGUCAUCCUUCUUCCUCCAGUUUUUGGAUGAUCACAACAAAGACCCCCAAUCCCUCCCCGCAUCGGCCACCACUCUUGCGAACUGGACCCUCAGCAGGUGGGCGUGUAUUUUCUCCGAGUGAAGGUGGGACGCUCCACUCUGCCCUUGUCUCCUCAGGACGCACUAGCUUGCUGGGUUUGUUUGGUUCCUAAGGUACUCUCCUCACCAGCUCCUGAGUAACUGCGGGGAUGCAAAGCUGGCGAGGAACGCGCUUAGCAAAUGUAUUCGCGCAGCCGUGUGGGGCUGCCUGCUUCCACACUUCCUGUCAUGAUGAUAAUGAACCUUCUGAAACUGUAAGCAAGCAGUUAAAUGAUUUCUCCUGCAAUAGAACAGUGACUAAGAUGGCCAUCCUUGGACUGUAUAAAGAGUUGGAAGCCAGCCUGGGCUACAUGAGAUUCCAUUUAAAACAAAACAACGCACACAUCCACACCUUGUUAAGUGAAUAAAAAUGAAAUCGUUAAUGAUUUUAGCAUCUCCCAAAUCUGAACUAUCUCACCCUGAAAUUAUCUGGAGAGGGUGAGUUGUAGGACCUUCUUCUCCCAGGUUCUGUAUGCCAGGUUUUAACCCUUGAGAUGAGGUUCAGCUCUGUAGCUAAAAAGUGCUUCUUCAGCUGCCAACUUCUCUUGAAACAUGGGCAGCCUGCACCUGCUUCCUGCCAGGGCACUUGCAACCCUCAGACUCAAGCUAUAGCUCGAAAUGGCCUGAAUCUGCAAUCUGACUUCAGCCUAGAGUAUAACACAGAUGUAUAAUACAAUGUCCAGUGCACAGACUUCUUGGCCAGAUACUAACUCAACUUAGGCGUUCUCUUCUUUAUAGCGUCACUGCUGCUACCCCCA